rnacentral:misc_RNA from 1 species
UCCGGUUUGUCACCGGCAGUCACUCUAGAGUGCCCAGCCUUACCUGCUGGCAACUAAAGUCAAGGGUUGCGCUCGUUGCGGGACUUAACCCAACAUCUCACGACACGAGCUGACGACAACCAUGCACCACCUGUCUCAACUUUCCCCGAAGGGCACCUGAUGCAUCUCUGCUUCGUUAGUUGGAUGUCAAGACCUGGUAAGGUUCUUCGCGUUGCUUCGAAUUAAACCACAUACUCCACUGCUUGUGCGGGUCCCCGUCAAUUCCUUUGAGUUUCAGUCUUGCGACCGUACUCCCCAGGCGGAGUGCUUACUGUGUUAACUUCGGCACCAAGGGUAUCGAAACCCCUAACACCUAGCACUCAUCGUUUACGGCGUGGACUAC